rnacentral:rRNA from 1 species
CUACGUGCCAGCAGCCGCGGUAAUACGGAAGGUCCAGGCGUUAUCCGGAUUUAUUGGGUUUAAAGGGAGCGUAGGCGGAUUGUUAAGUCAGCGGUUAAAGGGUGUGGCUCAACCAUACAUUGCCGUUGAAACUGGCAAUCUUGAGUGCAGACAGGGAUGCCGGAAUUCGUGGUGUAGCGGUGAAAUGCUUAGAUAUCACGAAGAACUCCGAUCGCGAAGGCAGGUGUCCGGGCUGCAACUGACGCUGAGGCUCGAAAGUGUGGUAUCAAACAGGAUUAGAUACCCUGGUAGUCCACACAGUAACCGAUGUAUACUCGCGGUUUGCGAUAUAUUGUAAGCCGCCAAGCGAAAGCAUUAAGUAUACCACCUGGGGAGUACGCCGGCAACGGUGAAACUCAAAGGAAUUGACGGGGGCCCGCACAAGCGGAGGAACAUGUGGUUUAAUUCGAUGAUACGCGAGGAACCUUACCCGGGCUUGAAC